GCGGCUGUGAAGAGCGGGAGUGGCCCGGCCCGGCCGUGCGUCUGGCUGCCCGGAACUUGGGAGCCAACCUCGGGCUGCUGCAGCUCCUGCUCGGGGAACAUCGCCUUCCGCUCCGCCGAGCUGGGGUUUUUGGCAGGAGCCGGGUCCAGGGAGGACAGAGGUAACAAUCGCAAAUUUAAAACUGACAGAGUUGGCUCCAGAGAAGGACUUUGUAAAUAGUAGAGGUUUAAAAACAGCCCUGA